CUGCUGCCUCCCGUAGGAGUUUGGGCCGUGUCUCAGUCCCAAUGUGGCCGUUCACCCUCUCAGGCCGGCUACUGAUCGUCGCCUUGGUGGGCUGUUACCCCGCCAACAAGCUAAUCAGACGCGGAUCCAUCGUAUACCACCGGAGUUUUUCACACCGUCUCAUGCGAGACUGUGCGCUUAUGCGGUAUUAGCACCUAUUUCUAAGUGUUAUCCCCCAGUAUACGGCAGGUUAUCCACGCGUUACUCACCCGUCGA
rnacentral:rRNA from 1 species